rnacentral:rRNA from 1 species
AAACUAACAAGGAUUCCCCUAGUAACGGCGAGUGAAGAGGGAAGAGCCCAAGAUUGAAAGCUGGCGUCUUCGGCGUCCGCAUUGUAAUCUCAAGAAGUGUUUUCCGCUUCGGACCAUGCCUAAGUCCCUUGGAAAAGGGCCAUCAUAGAGGGUGAUAAUCCCGUACAUGGCAUGGAGCGCCCGAAGCUUUGUGAUACGCUUUCUAAGAGUCGAGUUGUUUGGGAAUGCAGCUCAAAAUGGGUGGUAAAUGCCAUCUAAGGCUAAAUAUUGGGGAGAGACCGAUAGCGAACAAGUACAGUGAUGGAAAGAUGAAAAGAACUUUGAAAAGAGAGUUAAACAGUACGUGAAAUUGCCAAAAGGGAAGGGUAGGAGGUCAGAGAUGCGUUCUGGGAUUCAGCCUUGCUUUUGCUUGGUGUUUUUCUCAAAUUGCAGGCCAACGUCGGUUUUGGGCGCUGGAGAAGGGUGGAAGGAACGUGGCACCCCUCGGGGUGUGUUAUAGCCUUCUACUGGAUACAGUGACCGAGACCGAGGACAGCAGCGUACUCGCAAGAGCGGGCCUUCGGGCACCUUUACGCUUAGGGCGUUGGCAU